UUUAUCAGAUUCCACAAAGAUAAUCUGGAAUGGUUUGUUUCUGAUGUGUUCCAUUCACUGAUUCAUCGUCCUUUGGCGUCCCUAGAUCUGUUAGCGGCUCUGCUCGAUCCGCUACUUUAUUCUUGCCUUACCACUAUCCACAAGGUCAGAUCAUUGGAUAUUACCAUUUAAAGUGCUGUUUUGUUUCAUUUUCUGCUUGCUAGUCUAGUUGACGUGUUGGUUUGCACUAAAAGAUAAACAAAAAGUUGGGUCUAUGUUUUAUGAAAAACAGUAUGCUUCGAGUCUGAGCCUGAUGAUGCGCCGGAGCCAACAUAUCAAUAAGGUGGUAUUGGGCUUUAUUGGGUUUUUACCAAUUCGGCUGAAUUCUUUUCUUCUGCAUUUGUUCAUGGUGCAUAGUUACAUACACCCUCCAUCUGAGAGGAAUCUCUUGUAAGUUCUAGACGUAAUUAAUGGGUAACGGCACUUCUCGUGUUGUAGGCUGUUUUAUACCUUUCAAUGAGAAAAACGGGGUUGAUUUGGAGUUCUUAGACCCACUAGAUGAAGGAUUAGGCCAUUCCUUCUGUUAUGUUAGGCCGUCUAUUUUUGAAUCUCCUGCCAUUACCCCAUCAAACUCUGAAAGGUAUACUGUUGAUUCGAGCACCCUUGAUUCUGAGGCAUUAAGUGGAUCAUUUAGACAUGACAUGAUAGAUGAUCCCUCGGGGUUACACAGACUAAACAAGAGCGUCCCAGAAACUACAUUUAAAACCAUCUCAGGGGCUUCGGUCAGUGCCAAUGUUUCUACAGCUAGGACUGGUAACCAGAGUGCAUUGUUUGCCAGUGAUGUUCAAGAGCCUGCUGCAUCCUUUGAGAGCACAUCCUCAUUUUCUGCAAUACCUUUGCAGCCCGUACCUCAUUGCUCUGGACCAUUGAGUGGAUUCAUGUCUGGACCUCUUGAAAGAAGUUUUACUUCAGGCCCUUUGGAGAGGGGAGGGUUUUUCAUGUCUGGGCCAAUUGAGAAGGGUGUAAUGUCUGGUCCGCUUGAUGCUACUGAUAAGUCUAACUUCUCUGCACCCCUUGCACGAAUUGGUCAAAGACCAGGCCUUCAGCGUCUCAUGAGGAGCAUGAGUGGGCCGAUGAGGAGCACUUUCUCUGGCGCAUUCUCAAAACAUUCUGGGGGGCCUGGUUGGAUGCAACGCUUUUUCUUGAAUUCAGUGUCUCAAUUGGCCUGGCAUACUAAAGAGCCAAAGUUUCGGCCAGAUACCUCGCGAAGCUGUCUUGAAGGGGUGCCAUCCAAAGGUGAGUAUAGAUGUACUCAUGACUUGCAAUGGGCUCAUGGAAAGGCUGGUGAAGAUAGGGUUCAAGUUGUGCUUUCUGAAGAACAAGGAUGGUUGUUUAUUGGAAUAUAUGAUGGCUUUAGUGGACCGGAUGCACCAGAUUUUCUGAUGAGCCAUCUUUACCAAGCUAUAGACAGAGAACUGGAAGGACUGAUUUGGGAUUAUGAAGAUAAACCUCUUAAUGAUCAAUUAAAACCGGAACUCCUUAAGACUGGACAUACAAAAGUGGCUUCAGAGUCCAGCAAGGAGGAACAGUCGAAACCUCAUCUGAGUCAAGGAAUUUAUCAUAGUUCAGAGGAUUCAUGUAGGCCUGCAGUUGUCAAAGGUCAAUCUUCUAACUGUGAGAUAGUUGAGGAAAAUGAAGAACUUAGGAUGGGUGUUGAACCUAAUGGUGAAAAGUCCAGCAGCACAGGAACAGCACCGGUUUCUGUUCCAGCUGCAAACUUAACUGGUCAAGGCAGGAAAAGCACACGGCUUUAUGAACUACUUCAGAUGGAGCCUUGGGAUGGACGGGAUUCUUUGUUAGUCUCGGAGGUCAGGAAGCGAAGAGUGGUAUCAUGGGAUUGUCAAUUGGGUCAAGAAACCUCAGAUUCUAGCAAAACCUUACGUGAAGAUCAGGUAAGAUCUUGCUCAUUAAAUGCCGAAGGAGAUAGUUAUAACCAUCGGGGUGAAGAUCCUACCACUUCAGGUGAAGAUGUAGGGGUGAGGGAAUCUAUUAAUCAUGGUGUUAUACCUGCUCUUUAUGUUUCAAGGCAAAGACAGAAUACUAGAAAGUCAUUAAUUGGUUCAAAGAUUAGAAAAAUGUAUCAGAAGCAAAAAUCUUUACGGAAGAAACUUUUUCCGUGGAAUUAUGAUUGGCACAGAGAGGAGAUUGGUGUUGAAAAGAGAAUGGUGGAACCCUCUGGACCUAUUAGAAGAUGCAAAUCUGGUGUUAUUGAUCAUGAUUUGGUUUUAAGGGCGAUGGCUCGAGCUCUUGAAAGGACUGAAGAGGCUUACAUGGAAUUGGUGGAAAAGGCUCUUGACAAAAACCCGGAACUUGCAUUAAUGGGAUCAUGUGCUCUAGUGAUGUUAAUGAAGGAUCAAGAUGUGUAUGUCAUGAAUCUUGGGGAUAGCCGUGUGAUCUUGGCUCAAGAAAGACCACAUGACCAUUAUCCUAAUCCAAGUUUUUUAAAAGAUGACGCGAGGCAUCGGAAUAGAUCCAGAGAGUCAUUAGUGCAUAUGGAGCUGGACAGAAUAUCAGAGGAUUCUCCUAUGCAUAAUCAGAACAGUCACAUUAGCAAGAUAAAUAAAAAGCGGGAUAUUUCAUUAUGCAGAUUAAAGAUGAGAGCAGUUCAGCUUUCCAUUGAUCACAGCACAAGCAUGGAAAAGGAAGUUUUUAGAAUUAGGGUCGAACAUCCGGAUGACAACCAGGCUGUAUUCAAUGAUCGAGUGAAGGGGCAAUUGAAAGUAACUAGAGCGUUUGGUGCUGGGUUUCUGAAGAAGGUCGGUCAGUUGCUCUUGUAAAUUUAACCUAUCUGAAAAGCAGUUUCUUAGCUGCACACUAUUUCUUUGAAUGUUCCGCAGAAUUGCAUCUAUAAGAUGUAUAUUCUAUGUCGGUAUAUAUAUUUGCCUUGUCAUUGGGAGUAGAAAAUAGAAGAGGAAAUGCAACUAUGGAAACAUGAUGUAUAUGCUGAUUACUCUGGUUAUAUGGACGUGUACUAACUAGGAAUAAACCAAUAAUGCCUAUAGUUUUUAUAAGCAUGAUGGCCAAGUGAUACUUGUACUGGUUAUAAGCAUGAUGGUGGGUACUAAAGAAAAAGCUUGAUGGCAGGUGAGGUCAUGGGUUCAAAAUUUGUGAGGUGUGUGAGUUGGUUACCCAUUAAAAAAAAAAAGCCAAUAAUCCACUCGUAAUAAUGCUGGCAGAAAUUAAAGAUAUAUUGAGGAUUAAGCACAAGUUUUAAACAUGAGUUUUUUUAUAUCAAUGCCUUUUGUUUGUUUUGAUUCCUUGAUGUCUUGAAGUUAACCUGGUUAUAACAGUGGUCAAACCAUAUGUCAUUAUUAUUUGCAGUCUUGCCGUAGUUUAUGCUAAUCUAGUUGAACUUUGUCUGGGCAAUCUUAUGUUACCUUGAUCCUGUGUAUAAUAGGCAAUCUCAGAUAGAGUUCUCCAAGAUGGAUUUGCAACACAAUCAAGUCAUAAUGUCCUUUAAGGACUGUUAAGAGUAUAAUUAAAUGCUUAAUUUUAUAUUUUUCUAGUAGUUUAACAUGAUAUUAGAGCAAUGAUCUAUCUAAAGCUUGAAUCCUAGCUCCACUCUCUACUUAUUUACAUGUGUAAUUUAUACAAUGUAAUCAUGGAAACUUGGGGCUCUAGCUUUGACACUGUAAAUAUCUAUAAAUGGAGUAACUUUAAGAGAUGGAUCAUAUAAAGAUCACUCAUUUUUUGGAGUACACAUUAACUAGGAGACUUUAAACGGUGUGUUUGUCUUGAUUUAUGCUCUAUGUUAGACAGUUUACUAACAAGCUUCAAUUUGCUAUGUUUUAUCAUGAGUUACUUGGCUCGAAAUGCAUCUUAAGGCAGGCAUAAUAGGGGACCACAAUAGAGUUGAGAUCAUGUGACUUGAAGUGGUGAACUAAUCACCGUGCAUCCUUUCAUUUCCUCAGAAAGACCAACUUGUAAUGAAGCUCUGCUGGAGAUGUUUCGGAUUGAAUAUGUGGGAACUCUUCCUUAUGUCAGCUGCAUUCCUUCCCUUCUUCACCACCGACUUUCCUCAAGUGAUCAAUUCCUGGUACUCUCCUCUGAUGGAC